GAUGCCAGCUAGCGAUCCGCCAAAGUUCCUCCGAUGACUUGGUGGGCAGCUUCCGGGAAACCAAAGCAUUUGGGUUCCGGGGGAAGUAUGGUUGCAAAGCUGAAACUUAAAGGAAUUGACGGAAGGGCACCACCAGGAGUGGAGCCUGCGGCUUAAUUUGACUCAACACGGGAAACCUCACCAGGCCCGGACACCGGAAGGAUUGACAGAUUGAGAGCUCUUUCUUGAUUCGGUGGGUGGUGGUGCAUGGCCGUUCUUAGUUGGUGGAGCGAUUUGUCUGGUUAAUUCCGAUAACGAACGAGACUCUAGCCUACUAAAUAGACGUACUUUAUUACCGGCAUCUCAAGGCCCAUCGGCUGUAUUGUUACUGAAUGUUAUUUGUAUAUUUUGUUGAUAUAUAUUUAUUAUAUGUAUGAUUGAUAAUAUGUGUGUAUUAUAU
rnacentral:rRNA from 1 species